rnacentral:rRNA from 1 species
ACUACGGGAGGCAGCAGUGGGGAAUAUUGCACAAUGGGGGAAACCCUGAUGCAGCGACGCCGCGUGAGUGAAGAAGGAACUCGUUAUGUAAAGCUCCAUCAGCAGGGAAGAAAAUUACGGUACCUGAGUAAGAAGGCCCGGCCAACUACGAGCCAGCAGCCGCGGUACUACGGAGGGGGCAAGCGUUAUCCGGAUUUACUGGGUGUAAAGGGAGCGUAGACGGCAGUGCAAGUCUGGAGUGAAAGGCGGGGGUUCAACCCCCGGACUGCUGUGGAAACUGGACGGCUGGAGUGCAGGAGAGGUAAGUGGAAUGCCUAGUGUAGCGGUGAAAUGCGUAGAUAUUAGGAGGAACUCCAGUGGCGAAGGCGGCUUACUGGACUGUAACUGACGUUGAGGCUCGAAAGCGUGGGGAGCAAACAGGAUUAGAUACCCGUGUAGUC